GGCCGCGCUGUGUGGGGGAGGGGGGUUACUUGUCCCCGGCUGCAGGGAGAUAGCGCCGUUCCUCGGCCUGCAGUACCACUGAGCAGCUGCAGCGGCGCCUGGAGCAACACAGCAAUCAGCAAGAGGCUUUGAAGAUGGUGGUAGGCCGGAGACCACAACAGAGGGUCAGCGCCAUAGGAGCAUUCAGCAGGAAGGGGACAGGCAGCUGUGAGUAAUCCAGAGGCAGGAAUAGAAGCUCCACCAGACAGCGGGGCCACAGACAGGAGAGCAGAGUAAUGGCGGCUUAGCAUCUGGAAGCGUGGCGGGCCGCAGUGCAGAGCGGAGGAUCAGGGAAGCACACAGAGGUCAGAGGUCAGUAGAUGGACAUCAGGUACAGGGGAUGACUACGUGAAUCAAAGUGGAUCAGCCUGGACACACAGGACUUCAGAGAUAAAUAAACCGGGUGGAAAUUGUGAUACUCUGUCACACCCCUUCAAUCAGCUGACCACACCUCCCUUCCGUGGACCCCCUACCAGUCCAUUUCCCCUGAGGACACUGCACCGGCUGAAGAAUGGCCGGGCUGUCGGAGCACCUGACUCUGGAACCGGCAACAUAUAUCUCCAUGGGAGAAGCCGUCACUCCUCAGAUCCACACCAGCCACUUUCACACUCUGCCCCUGAGCUUUGUUACUGGUCAUGGCGUAGCCGACAUUUACCGGGAACUGCAGCCAUUGAACUGGAAAUGGUAGUCUGAUGGGAUCAGAGGAAUUCUGGGGAAUGGAGAGAGUUUCGGGUGGAUGCUAAAGAAGCCCCUAACAAUCCUCCAAUGUAAAAUGAAACAAAAAAUCGACAGAUUGUCAGUUAAAAAAAAAUCUUAAAAAAUAAUUGUUUUUAAACCUAGAUUAUCAUGCUGCUAAAAAUAUAUACACCUACUCAGGCACUUCAUUUGGUAACGUUUGUAUGCACAAACCAAAUGUAAGUCUUAUCUGGAUUAAGAGAUAAUGAAAAAUGUAUCUUAAAAAAAAUAAACAAUUCACCCCUUUGCACCCCUUUGGGGUGGACUUUUGAAAACUCC